rnacentral:rRNA from 1 species
UGAACCUGCGGAAGGAUCAUUACCUUUCAAUGCAGAAGAGUUGAGAUGGUUGAGUAUCUCGCCUCUCAAUUCUCGCUGUAUUUUACCCUUGUUUUUCUCAUACUAUUAUUUCCUCGGCAGGCUCGCCUGCCGGGUGAAACAACUUCAAACCUGUUUAAUUUUCAAUCAGCGUCUGAACAAAUUAAUAAUUACAACUUUCAACAACGGAUCUCUUGGUUCUGGCAUCGAUGAAGAACGCAGCGAAAUGCGAUAAGUAGUGUGAAUUGCAGAAUUCAGUGAAUCAUCGAAUCUUUGAACGCACAUUGCGCCCCUUGGUAUUCCAUGGGGCAUGCCUGUUCGAGCGUCAUUUGUACCUUCAAGCUCUGCUUGGUGUUGGGUGUUUGUCCUUGCUCUAGUGGCGGGACUCGCCUCAAAGUAAUUGGCAGCCAGUGUUUUGGUUUUGAAGCGCAGCACAAGUCGCGAUUCAAGUCUAUACGCUAGUUUCCACAAGUCUUUUAUCACUUUUGACCUCGGAUCAGGUAGGGAUACCCGCUGAACUUAAGCAUAUCAAUA